rnacentral:rRNA from 1 species
GACGAACGCUGGCGGCGUGCUUAACACAUGCAAGUCGAGCGAGGCCCCUCCUUCGGGAGGGUGUCCUAGCGGCGAACGGGUGAGUAACACGUGGGCAACCUGCCCUCAGCUCUGGGAUAACUCCGGGAAACCGGGGCUAAUACCGGAUACGACCUCCACGGGCAUCUGCGGAGGUGGAAAGUUUUUCGGCUGAGGAUGGGCCCGCGGCCUAUCAGCUAGUUGGUGGGGUAGUGGCACACCAAGGCGACGACGGGUAGCCGGCCUGAGAGGGCGACCGGCCACACGGGGACUGAGACACGGCCCAGACUCCUACGGGAGGCAGCAGUGGGGAAUAGUGCGCAAUGGGCGAAAGCCUGACGCAGCGACGCCGCGUGAGGGACGAAGGCCUUCGGGUUGUAAACCUCUUUCAGCAGGGACGAAGCGAAAGUGACGGUACCUGCAGAAGAAGCACCGGCCAACUACGUG